GCUGAAGCCAAUUUCAUCACAGC
rnacentral:siRNA from 1 species